CCUGGUUGAUCCUGCCAGUAGUCAUAUGCUUGUCUCAAAGACUAAGCCAUGCAUGUCUAAGUAUAAAUGCUUUUAUACCGUAAAACUGCGAAUGGCUCAUUAAAUCAGUUAUAAUUUACUUGAACGUAACUUCUUACUUGGAUAACCGUAGUAAUUCUAGAGCUAAUACAUGCAAAAAGGCCAAACUGCGCCUUAACGGGUUGCGGGGAGGUCGUAUUUAUUAGAUACAGAACCAAUGCGAGCUAUUCCAAACGGUAUUAGAGUUUUUUACUUUAGUAUCGGGCUCGGUUUAUUGGAUGAAUCAUAAUAACUAAACAAAUCGCAGACCAAGAGUCGGCGAUGUUGCAAACAAGUUUCUGCCCUAUCAACUUUCGAUGGUAGUAUAGUGGACUACCAUGGUUAUAACGGGUAACGGGGAAUUAGGGUUCUAUUCCGGAGAGGGAGCUUGAGAAUCGGCUACCACUUCCAAGGAAGGCAGCAGGCGCGCAAAUUACCCAAUCCCGAUUCGGGGAGGUAGUGACAAGAAAUACCAAUAUACGACCCAACGGGUAGUAUAGUUGGAAUGAGUACAAUUUAAAAACCUUAACGAGGAACAAUUGGAGGGCAAGUCUGGUGCCAGCAGCCGCGGUAAUUCCAGCUCCAAUAGUGUAUAUUAAAGUUGUUGCGGUUAAAAAGCUCGUAGUUGGAUUUCGGAAUGCAUAAGACACGGUCCAUCGAAUUGAUGAGUACUGGUUUUUUGCUUCCUUCUUUUGUAAUGCGUUAUUGAUCCUUUGUGAUUAAUAUGCUUACAUUGUUUACUUUGAAAAAAUUAGAGUGUUCAAAGCAGGCGUAACCUUGCCAUUGAAUACAUUAGCAUGGGAUAAUAAAAUAUGACUUUGGCUCUUAUUUUGUUGGUUUCUAAGGCUAAAGUAAUGAUUAAUAGGGAUAGUCGGGGCCACUAGUAUUGAUUUGUCAGAGGUGAAAUUCUAGGAUUUAAUCAAGACUAACUACUGCGAAAGCAUUUGGCAAGGAUGUUUUCAUUAAUCAAGAACGAAAGUUGGGGGAUCGAAGAUGAUCAGAUACCGUCGUAGUCUCAACCAUAAACUAUGUCGACCUAGGAUUCGCAAACAUUACAUGGAUGAUUUUGCGAGCACUAUUUGAGAAAUCACAAGUAUUUGGAUUCUGGGGGGAGUAUGGUCGCAAGGCUGAAACUUAAAGGAAUUGACGGAAGGGCACCACCAGGAGUGGAAUCUGCGGCUUAAUUUGACCCAACACGGGGAAACUUACCAGGUCCGGACACAGUGAGGAUUGACAGAUUGAGAGCUCUUUCUUGAUUCUGUGGGUGGUGGUGCAUGGCCGUUUUUAGUUGGUGGAGUGAUUUGUCUGGUUAAUUCCGUUAACAAACGAGACCUUAACCUAUUAAAUAGUUGUUCGAAUUUGAAUUCCGUUUCUCGGAAUUCUCUUCAAUUCGAAGAUAA
rnacentral:rRNA from 1 species